rnacentral:sRNA from 1 species
GCCGGGUGUGGUGUCGCGCGCCUGUAAUCCCAGCUACUCAGGAGGCUGAGGCAGGAGAAUCACUUGAACCUGGGAGGUGGAGGUUGCAGUGAGCAGAGAUUGCACCACUGCACUCCUGUCUGGGCAACAGAGCAAGACUCUUGUCUUUAAAA